rnacentral:rRNA from 1 species
AUUGAACGCUGGCGGCAGGCCUAACACAUGCAAGUCGAACGAGCGGCGGACGGGUGAGUAAUGUAUGGGAAUCUGCCUGAUAGAGGGGGAUAACUACUGGAAACGGUGGCUAAUACCGCCUACUAUCGGAUGUGCCCAUAUGGGAUUAGCUAGUAGGUGGGGUAAAGGCUCACCUAGGCGACGAUCGCUAGCUGGUCUGAGAGGAUGACCAGCCACACUGGAACUGAGACACGGUCCAGACUCCUACGGGAGGCAGCAGUGGGGAAUAUUGCACAAUGGGCGCAAGCCUGAUGCAGCCAUGCCGAGUGUAUGAAGAAGGCCUUAGGGUUGUAAAGUACUUUCAGCGGGGAGGCGUUACCCGCAGAAGAAGCACCGGCUAACUCCGUGCCAGCAGCCGCGGUAAUAC